rnacentral:lncRNA from 1 species
GAAAUGUCAGUCUGCCUGCAACUUGGCUCAGCCCAACCCACUGACCAGGAAGGCCAGGAGCUUCACACAGCAGGGGCCGAAAUUACUGCAGGAAUCUGAAACAAGGCCUGGGGUAGUGCACUAUUUAGCAGAGAGAAUUCGUUGACACCUGUUUGCGCCAUCCUGACGUAGAGGGAGAACCCGUGGAAUUGCCACACUGCCCCUGACAGUGACUUGAGACUAACCCUCAACAGGUUGAAUAAUCCAAGAACACUGAUCUUCGUCUGCAAGGAAGCAAGUAAGAAACCUAUUAUGCUGUUAUCUCCUGCCAGAAAAGAACAUUCUAAUGGGAACUCAGUGUUCUGGUUUGCCAGCAUCCUCAGCAGCCAGGCCUCACAGCCCCAGUGAGGAACUUUAUGGGGACUGAAGGCUUCCUUCUCCCCUUCUCUUACGGAAACAAGGGGAGAGCCAGCUGUCUUACCAUCAGCCACAUCCAGGCACAGCAGCUCCUGGAGCCUCUCCCCGUUCUGUCCCCCUAGAUCUGCACCCAACACAGGGCAAGCCACGCAGGCCGGAAGUUCAACAACAGGACACCAUGAGAAAGGUGACAGGGCCUCAGAGGAGAAGAUAAACGUGAGCAGUCCGGUCAGGUGUGCGGCAGGGAAGCCACACUGCAGGCCCACAGUCCGUCUGUAUACGUGCCCAACUCGUCCAUAAGUUCCACCGGAAGAACGGGGCAGACCUGGUCACCGCUCUCCAUCAGGAUGUGUGACAAGCAGGCACCUGCCAUCUCACUUUGGACUUUGGCCAUUCAGCUUGACCAGAAUUCAGGCCAGCAGACCGCUUGUGCUCCCCAGCAGCAGGCCCAGGUGGGGAAGCAUCUGUGCUCCCAGAGGUGGCUCGGAGCCAGACCCUCCAAGCCGACCUGAGGCACAAUAGCAUUGUCCAGCCAUAAGCAAUGGCUUAUCGACCAGUCUCCACCAAGCGGGAUGCGGCUAUGAAAGCAUUUUCUCUGACCACCAUCUCCAAGAGUGCAAUGCUGAAUGCCCCUUCCUCGUGAGGAGUCUGUGCUGUAAGGGCCUCUUGGGCAGAUUCUAAAACCUUCAGGUUAUUUCAGUCGUUAAAAUUGCAUCCAGUUUGAAACUCCCAUCUCAUACGCAACUUGGAGCUUCCUCCCUGCCCAGCUCUGGCCAGGCUUAUGUUUCAAGGGACCCAGGGAGAAGUGGAUCUGUUCUGUCCUCCCCUCCCUUCUCUCUUUGGAGUAGGGCCUCUCCCACCUCCAAGACACCCCCUCCCUCUUCUUCCGUAGCUUUCCUCCGGGAGGCCGUGCUGAGAUGCAAACCCAAGGCUGUCUGGCUCCGAGGGCCAUGUUCUCAUACCCUGCUCCUCUGCCUCCAUGCGGCCCUCAUCCACAGAGAGGCAGUCAGGCUGGGCGUCAGACCCAACAUCAAAGGAUGGGGCUUGUGUCUCGGGGAGCAGCUCAGCCAAAACUAUGGGUGAGCAUUAGGGGGAUGGCUGGCUAAGUUCCCGGUUAAAGUUCCACAUCUGCCACUUCAAAGUUACUGAAACUUUGAGAAGAGGUCACUGCGGACUGAGGUCAUCAAGGAGAACCUCGUGGAGAAGGUGAGGGCCCUUGGAAGCUACUGUUUUUUGAUCGCUAACUGUGUGCCAAGCACUGUUCUGGGAACUUGACAUUCACGAACACAUUUUAUCCUUUCAACAACCUCAUGAGGAGAGAGUGACUUUGAAGAGCCUGUGGGUCAUCCAGGUGGGAGACGUCCAGCGUGGCUGGGGCUGGAAAUGCCGACCUCAGGUCUCCAGUAUCUCAGCGGGUGGAAGUCACCAUUGGCUGGACACACCCAGCUCCACCUCACUAACACUGCAGCGCCAGCACCUCCUCCAAGAUGAGAGCAGCCCAGCCCCCACACCCCAGCCCACCUGCAGAACCACAGGCCUUCCAAGCUUUCAUUCUGCGUGUCUUGCGUGUGUCAUCGAGUCCCCAGAUUUGAAGAGGAGAGUGAACUGGAGUGUGGACCUCCUCGCUCGCAGCCGGUGACUUCUUUCCUCUACAGUGAGUGGCCAAAAGCAGGUGGCUUCAAAGGUGAAUUAAUUCUCUGCUGGAAAAAUUGAGCUGUAAAAGUCUAGCGAUUGGGAACCUAGACUCUGCGGCAGCAGGAACAUGUUUCAGACGCCAAAGCCAGUGUCAGUGGCCAUGAUGUGGCUGAAGGCUUGACAAGUGUUUGUGCAACAGGGCUUAUCCUGCUGUGCCUCCACCAUCACCAGGAGAAGAACUUGCCCAGGCUAGCCCAUUGGCCCAGGAGGAUGAGAGGCAUGUGGAGCAGAGCUGGACCACCUGGCAGAGCCCAGCCUAGACAGUCUGAUCCCUGGCAGAUCCCCAGACACAACCGAGAUGCAUGAGCCCAGCCAACAUCAGCUGAUCUCCAGCCAAUGCAAAGAUCCA